UGUUUUGAUGUCUGCCAAUAAAACAAGUUUUGUUCCUGUGUCCGACACUCCGCCUCCGACUCCUUUUCUCCGGUGCUACACCAUCGAUCGUUAAUUUACGCCGCGGUAAUGGGGUAGUUUGUAUACAAUAUUGACAAACAAGCUUGUCGAAUGUGGCUUUCAACAACGCACUCGUGUACUGAGGUACUGGAACAUUUGAUGAACCAAGAACGGUUGAUGGCACCAUUGGUUUUUUAUGGGGACCACUCACUAGAGCCUGAAAACGACAGCAUGGGGUCGCGGGAGUGUUGGAGCUUAACCCAGCUAACUUCAGGUGAAAGGCAGACUACACCCUGAAUGGGUUGCCACUCAGUUGCAGAGCGCAAUGUCCCAACUUCAUUGGAAUUGGGUUUGGACUUCUGGGUACAGCCACAUGCCAGUUACAAGAGGGAGUCUAUCCUUGUGCAACCGGAUUUCCAUCCGUCUAUUAUCCAAGCUGCUUAUCCUCACAAGGGUCACUGGAGAGCAGAAGCUUAUCCCUGCUUGCUAUGGGCGAAAGGCGGACCACUCCCUGAACUGGUCGCCAGUCAGUUGCAGGCCAAAUAUCCACAUCAUCACUGAGCGGGAAUCGGUCCCACACUGCCCGCACUAA